UACAGAGGUCUCAAGCGUUUGUUCGGAUUCAUUGGGCGUAAAGGGUGCGUAGGUGGCGGGGUAAGUCAGGUGUGAAAUCUCGGGGCUCAACCCCGAAACUGCACUUGAUACUGCCUUGCUUGAGUACUGGAGAGGAGAUUGGAAUUUACGGUGUAGCAGUGAAAUGCGUAGAUAUCGUAAGGAACACCAGUGGCGAAGGCGACUCGCUGGACAGACAUUGACGCUGAGGUGCGAAAGCGUGGGGAGCAAACAGG
rnacentral:rRNA from 1 species